UACGAAGGGUGCAAACGUUGCUCGGAAUUAUUGGGCGUAAAGCGCACGUAGGCGGCUUUGCAAGUCGGAUGUGAAAGCCCUCGGCUCAACCAAGGAAGUGCAUCCGAAACUGCAGAGCUUGAGUACUUAAGAGGAUCGCGGAAUUCCCGGUGUAGAGGUGAAAUUCGUAGAUAUCGGGAGGAACACCGGUGGCGAAGGCGGCGAUCUGGACGGUGACUGACGCUGAGACGCGAAAGCGUGGGGAGCGAACAGG
rnacentral:rRNA from 1 species